rnacentral:rRNA from 1 species
GACGGAGGAUGCAAGCGUUAUCCGGAAUGAUUGGGCGUAAAGCGUCCGCAGGCGGCAGUUCAAGUCUGCUGUCAAAGACCGGGGCUUAACUUCGGAAAGGCAGUGGAAACUGAACAGCUAGAGUAUGGUAGGGGCAGAGGGAAUUCCUGGUGUAGCGGUGAAAUGCGUAGAGAUCAGGAAGAACACCGGUGGCGAAAGCGCUCUGCUGGACCUUAACUGACACUCAGGGACGAAAGCUAGGGGAGCGAAUGGG